UGCCUAAACCGGGGCGUCCGGAGGCCACCAAAACGUCAAGUUCUCAGAAGUAGAAUACCAAGGAAAAUGGGCACACUUGCUCCAACUGCACAGAUGAACCUCUUACUGAAAGUCAGAGUACCCAGUAUAAAAUUGAAAUUAAUUGCUACUGGGAAUGAUUCUUCCUCCUUCACAAGCUGCAAGUUAGAGUGAGAAAGAGUAUUUGAAGAAGUUCAAGAGUUGCUUAAGACUGAGUUUCACAACCUUACCUUCAAAGGAGACAAACUGAGAGUCUGGGCUGGAAGGGAUAAACUAAUCAAGACUC